rnacentral:rRNA from 1 species
CCCUUAGAUGUCCGGGGCCGCACGCGCGCUACACUGAAGGCAUCAGCGUGUCCUUCCCUCCCCGAGAGGGGCGGGUAACCCGCUGAACCGCUUUCGUGGUAGGGAUCGGGGCUUGCAAUUAUUCCCCGUGAACCAGGAAUUCCCAGUAAGCGCGAGUCAUAAGCUCGCGUUGAUUACGUCCCUGCCCUUUGUACACACCGCCCGUCGCUACUACCGAUUGAACGUUUUAGUGAGGUAUUUGGAUCGGACCUGAAGGGGUUCACGCCCUUUCUGUGUCUGAGAAGACUCCCAAACUUGAGCGUUUAGAGGAAGUAAAAGUCGUAACA